rnacentral:rRNA from 1 species
CGCUGGCGGCGUGGUUGAUACAUGCAAGUCGAGCGGGAAAGUACCCUUCGGGGUGCGAGUACAGCGGCGGACGGGUGAGUAACGCAUGGUCGACCUGCCCACGAGAUCGGGAUAGCCAUUCGAAAGGAUGGGUAAUACCGGAUAAGACCACGGCGCUUCAUGGCGCUGCGGUAAAAAGGUUGGGAUCUUCGGACCUUCCGCUCGUGGAUGGGACCAUGUCCUAUUAGCUUGUUGGUGAGGUAACGGCUCACCAAGGCGACGAUGGGUAGCCGGCCUGAGAGGGUGGACGGCCACACUGGGACUGAGACACGGCCCAGACUCCUACGGGAGGCAGCAGUGCUGAAUCAUUCGCCAAUGCGCGAAAGCGUGACGGUGCGACGCCGCGUGCGGGAUGAAGGCCUUCGGGUUGUAAACCGCUGUCAGGGCUUAGGAAACCGUAAGGGUUAAUAGCUCUUGCGCUGACCAGGCCCAAAGGAAGCACAGGCUAACUUCGUGCCAGCAGCCGCGGUAAUACGAAGUGUGCGAGCGUUGUUCGGAAUUACUGGGCGUAAAGGGUGCGCAGGCGGCUCGGUAAGUCAGGUGUGAAAUCCCCCGGCUCAACCGGGGAAUUGCACUUGAUACUGCCGGGCUUGAGGGCGAGAGGGGCAAGUGGAAUUCCAGGUGUAGCGGUGGAAUGCGUAGAUAUCUGGGAGAACGCCAAAGGCGAAGGCAGCUUGCUGGCUCGUUCCUGACGCUCAGGCACGAAAGCUAGGGGAGCGAACAGGAUUAGAUACCCUGGUAGUCCUAGCCGUAAACGAUGGGCGCUAAGUAUCGGGGCUUCUGACGGUUUCGGUACUACAGCAAACGCGUUAAGCGCCCCGCCUGGGGAGUAUGGUCGCAAGGCUAAAACUCAAAGGAAUUGACGGGGGCUCACACAAGCGGUGGAGCAUGUUGUUUAAUUCGAAGCAACGCGAAGAACCUUACCUGGGCUUGACAUGCUGGAAGUAGAACCCCGAAAAGGGAACCACCGGUAUCCAAUCCGGAACCAGCACAGGUGCUGCAUGGCUGUCGUCAGCUCGUGUCGUGAGACGUUGGGUUAAGUCCCGUAACGAGCGAAACCCUUGUCGUCUGUUGCCAGCGGGAAAGCCGGGCACUCUGACGAGACUGCCGGUGUCAAACCGGAGGAAGGCGGGGACGACGUCAAGUCAUCAUGGUCCUUACGUCCAGGGCUACAAACGUGCUACAAUGGCAGGUACAGAGAGACGCAAUACCGCGAGGUGGAGCAAAUCUUCAAAACCUGCCCCAGUUCGGAUUGGAGGCUGAAAUUCGCCUCCAUGAAGUUGGAAUCGCUAGUAAUCGCGGAUCAGCAAUGCCGCGGUGAUACGUUCCUGAGCCUUGUACACACCGCCCGUCAAGCCACCCAAGCUGGAAGCACCCGAAGUCCGGCGC